AUCUCCCCACACAUUGCCCCACAUCUGCCCCAUACUCUGACCCACACAUUGCCCCACAUCUCCCCACACUCUGCCCCACAUCUGCCCCACAUCUCCCCACACUCUGCCCCCCGUCUGCCCCACAUCUCCCCACACUCUGCCCCACAUUUGGCCCCCCAUUUGCGCCCCACCGCGCCCCACACCUCCAUGACUCCGCGUUCCUCCGUCCAAAAGCGAAAGAGAAACUGCGGCGCCGAAGCCCCGCCCACACCCGGAAGUGGGAGCACAAAACCCCGCCCACACCCGGAAGUGGGAGCACAAAACCCCACCCAGACCCGGAAGAGGGAGCACAAAACCCCGCCCACACCCGGAAAUGGGAGCAGAAAGCCCCGCCCACACCCGGAAGUGGGAGCAGAAAGUCCCGUCCACACCCGGAAGUAGGAGCAGAAAGUCCCGCUCAAACCCGGAAGUGGGAGCACAAAACCCCGCCCACACCCGGAAGUGGUGGGUCGGAGGCAUUUAGUGUGUGGGGCGGAGUGUGGGGCGGCCCCAACGGGCUCAGCUGUGGGGCGAUGGGGGGCUGGGGGGGCACUUGUGGGUCUCACUGUGGGGCAGAGGGGUCACUUGUGGGGCAGAGGAAGCACUUAUGGGUCUCACUAUGGGGCAGAGGGGUCACUUGUGGGGCCGGGGGGCAUUUGUGGGUCUCACUAUGGGGCAGAGGGGUCACUUGUGGGUCUCAUUAUAGAGCAGAGGGAGCACUUGUGGGGCUGGGGGGGCACUUGUGGGUCUCACUAUGGGGCAGAGGGGUCACUUGUGGGGCUGGGGGGGGCACUUGUGGGGCUGGGGGGCACUUAUGGGGCUGAGGAGUCAGUUAUAGGUCUCCAUAUGGGGCUGAGGGGGCACUUGUGGGCUGGGGGGCACUUGUGGGUCUCACUGUGGGGCAGAGGAAUCACUUGUGGGGCUGGGGGGUCACUUGUGGGGCUGGGGGGGCACUUGAGGGUCUCACUUUGGGGCUCAGGCCAAUCAGAGAGCGAGUUGCCUCAGAGAGAGGUGGGACGGGAGAUCGGCCCAAUCAGAGAGCGAGUUGCCACAGAUCAGGGUAGGAAGGACGGGAGCUCGGGCCAAUCAGAGAGCGAGUUGCCACAGUGCAGCAUAAGACGGACAGGAGCUCGGGCCAAUCAGAGCGCGAGUUGCCUCAGAGAGAGGUGGGACAGGAGGUCGGACUAAUCAGAGAGCGAGUUGCCUCAGAGAGAGGUGGGACAGGAGAUCGGUCCAAUCAGAGAGCGAGUUGCCACACAGCAGGAUAGGACGGACGGGAGCUCGGACCAAUCAGAGCGCGAGUUACCUCAGAGAGAGCUGGGACGGGACCUCGGCCCAAUCAGAGAGCGAGUUCCCACAGGGCAGGAGAGGACGGACGGGAGUUCGGACGAAUCAGAGAGAGAGAGGCCACAGGGAAGGAUAGGACGGACGGAAGCUCGGGCCAAUCAGAGAGCGAGUUACCUCAGAGAGAGGUGGGACAGGAGAUCGGUCCAAUCAGAGAGCGAGUUGCCACACAGCAGGAUAGGACGGACGGGAGCUCGGACCAAUCAGAGCGCGAGUUACCUCAGAGAGAGCUGGGACGAGAGAUCGGCCCAAUCAGAGAGCGAGUUCCCACAGGGCAGGAGAGGACGGACGGGAGUUCGGACCAAUCAGAGAGCGAGUUGCCACAGGGAAGGAUAGGACGGACGGAAGCUCGGGCCAAUCAGAGAGCGAGUUACCUCAGAGAGAGGUGGGACGGGACCUCGGCCCAAUCAGAGAUCGAGUUGCCACAGGGCAGGAGAGGACGGACGGGAGUUCGGACGAAUCAGAGAGAGAGAGGCCACAGGGAAGGAUAGGACGGACGGAAGCUCGGACCAAUCAGAGAGCGAGUUGCCACAGGGCAGGGUAGGAAGGACGGGAGCUCGGACCAGUCAGAGAGCGAGUUGCCUCAGAGAGAGGUGGGACGGGACCUCGGCCCAAUCAGAGAUCGAGUUGCCACAGGGCAGGAGAGGACGGACGGGAGUUCGGACGAAUCAGAGAGAGAGAGGCCACAGGGAAGGAUAGGACGGACGGAAGCUCGGACCAAUCAGAGAGCGAGUUGCCACAGGGCAGGGUAGGAAGGACGGGAGCUCGGACCAGUCAGAGAGCGAGUUGCCUCAGAGAGAGGUGGGACGGGAAGUCGGCCCAAUCAGAGAGCGAGUUACCUCAGAGUGAGGUGGGACGAGAGAUCGGCCCAAUCAGAGAGCGAGUUCCCACAGGGCAGGAGAGGACGGACGGGAGUUCGGACCAAUCAGAGAGCGAGUUGCCACAGGGAAGGAUAGGACGGACGGAAGCUCGGGCCAAUCAGAGAGCGAGUUACCUCAGAGAGAGGUGGGACAGGACCUCGGCCCAAUCAGAGAGCGAGUUGCCACAGGGCAGGAGAGAACGGACGGGAGCUCGGACCAAUCAGAGAGCGAGUUACCUCAGAGAGAGGACGGACGGAAGCUCGGCCCAAUCAGAGAGCGAGUUGCCACAGGGCAGGAGAGGACGGACGGGAGCUCGGACCAAUCAGAGAGCGAGUUACCUCAGAGAGAGGUGGGACGGAGGAGCGCGGCCAACGUCAGGAAGGAAGGUGAGACAUUGAGGUGAAAAGCGCAGAUUGGCGGAGAAAAAAGACCCCCCCAGAGACCCACAGCAACAUAUAAUGUCCCGUGGAGACCCCACAGAGCCCCACAGCGCCCCAAGGAGACCCACAGAGAUCCCAUAGAGACCCACAGAGACUCCACGCUGCGACCCGCCAUGAGACCCCGUUGGUCGCCCCAGGCCCCGCCCCACGGCCCCGCCGGCCAAUCAGAGCGCCCGUAGCCCCACGGAGGGCCGCCCCGGCGAAUAGGGGCAGCGGAACCAUAAACCGUAGGUCAACGCGUGCCCCGCCCACCCGAGCCCCGCCCCCAACCCCGCCCCGGGAGCCGAAAUGGCCGCCAGCGCCCCCUGCAGGAGGAGCAGCAGGGCCGCGUUCAGCAGGAACAGCAGGAAGUGCGGGGUGGAGGCUGAAGGGCCUCUUCCGGUGCUCGCCGCCCCGCUUCCGGUCUGGGGGAGGCCGCUUCCGGUCCCAAGGGACUCACCCGGGGCUCUCAGGAGGCCGCUUCCGGUCCCAAAGGUCUCACCCCGGGCACUCAGGAGGCCGCUUCCGGUCGCUGUCGCCCCGCUUCCGGUUUCCGGCUCUCCACUUCCGUUCCCGUCCCUCCACCGUCUCCACUCGGUCAUCCCGGCUCUGAGCUCGGCCGCGCUCCUUCCGCUUUCCGCCACCCCACUUCCGGUUCCCGCCGUCCGUCUUCCGCCUUCCCCCGUCUUCUCCGUCCCCCCGGCGGCCGCCAUCUUGCCUCCACCCCCCCUUCCUCCCCCGCCCCACCGGGAAGCGGCGGCCGCCGCCAUCUUGAACAGCACCGCCCCCCCCCUCGCCGCCAUCUUACCCCCCCACCCCGCCGCCAUCUUGAAGACGACCCACACCGCUCCCAACGCUUUCCAGCCCGGACCGGGAGCCGCCGUCACGUCGGCCACCGAGCCAACCGGAAGCGCUCCCGAGCGGCUCCUGACGUCACUUCCGGCGUGCGGCGGAUGGAGGAGCCUCCCGAGCGGCCCCAGCUCUUCCCCCAUCGCCAAGCCGCACAGCACGAGGGCGAAAGCGUGGGGCGAAGGGCUCAGCCCCACGGCGGAACGGAUGGAGGCGAAGAGGGGAGGGGCGGCGGCCGCCAUGAUGGCGGAAGUGACGGCGCAGCGGGCGGCGGCGCGGAACAGCGCCCCCCAGCGGGCGGAGGCCGGGCGGACCAAUGGCAGCGAAGCGAUCAGCAGCGAUCCGACCAAUAGCGACGUCCAGCGGCCCACCGACGGCAACAGGCGGCUGUGGGGCGGGGUGGGGAAACGACACGUUGGGGCACAAGGAUUGACCCAUAGAUUGACCCAUAGAUUGGCCCAUAGGGACAUAUAGGGACCCUUAGGGACACAUUGAGACCCAUAGGGACACACUGAGACCCAUAGA
ensembl:lncRNA